rnacentral:misc_RNA from 1 species
AACGCACCUUGCGCUCCCUGGUAUUCCUAGGAGCAUGUUUGUUUGAGUGUCGUGAAUCUCUCAACCCCCUCUUUCUUCUUAAAACAAGUUUGAGUGUCUCAGGGUUUGGAUUAUGAUUGUCUGUUGGUCAUCACCAACUCGAUCGAAAUACAAGAGCAGCCCUUUAGUAUAAUAAAAAAGUCCGCGGUUUGACUCGACGUGAUAAUAUCUUCGUUGAGGCGCGCGGUGUUUUUCCCUAUAUAAAUAAGGAGCGCUUCUAAUCCAUUCUUUUGGAGUUUGUUGACAAAUCUUUCAAAAUUAUAUAUACGAAAUUAGACCUCAGAUCAAUCAGGACUACCCGCUGAACUUAA